rnacentral:rRNA from 1 species
UACGAAGGGGACUAGCGUUGUUCGGAAUCACUGGGCGUAAAGCGCACGUAGGCGGAUUCGUAAGUUAGGGGUGAAAUCCCGGGGCUCAACCUCGGAACUGCCUUUGAUACUGCGGGUCUCGAGUCCGAUAGAGGUGGGUGGAAUUCCUAGUGUAGAGGUGAAAUUCGUAGAUAUUCGGAAGAACACCAGUGGCGAAGGCGACUCACUGGACACAUAUUGACGCUGAGGUGCGAAAGCGUGGGGAGCAAACAGG